UGUUGCUUCCACUGGACGAGUUUUUCUANNUUGAGUGUAAGAACUUUGGUUUAUGUAAUUUCUACAUGCCAGCCAGUGGGAAGACCACAUACAAAAACUUGUUGAGAACCACUUGUCUGAAUAUUUUGCUCCAAUGAAAUAAAACUUUCAACAACGGAUCUCUAGGCUCUUGCAUCGAUGAAGAACGCAGUGAAAUGCGAUAAGUAAUGUGAAUUGCAGAAUCUCGUGAAUCAUCGAAUCUUUGAACGCACAUUGCGCCCUAUGGUACUCCAUAGGGCAUGCCUGUCUGAGCGUCAGCUCCUCCCCCAAAAAAACUCAAGCAUCUUCUUCUGAUGCUUGUAUUACUUUGGAGAGGUAUCGUCCUUCGAUGGAGAUGCCCUCCAGAAAAUUAUAGGCACUAUGGUUUGCACCNAACCAGACGUAAUAAUAAUAAAAUCGUUUGUGUUGGGAUAAUAAUUGUACUUGCCCUUGAUUCACCCAUUGGUUUCGGGUGACCUCAGAUCAGGUAGGAUACCCGCUGAACUUAA
rnacentral:rRNA from 1 species